rnacentral:tRNA from 1 species
AUUUAAAUAGCUUAUAUAUAAAGUAUAAUAUUGAAGAUAUUAAGAAAAUUAACAUUAAUUUUUAAAUA